ACACUUUAAAACACACAAACUUCAAUUUACUAUUGCAGCAAUAGUGUGCUGCCGAUUUUACCCCCACCUUUCAACCUUAAUUACUGAAUUUGCCAUGAUGUUGGAUGAUGCCACGUGUUCCCAUCAUGUAUCUGCCUUAUUUGAUCAUCUUUGUUUCCCCUUUCUCUUUCCUCGACUCUGGCCUCUGGGAUCUUCUUCCUCUUCCAUUUUCAACAAACCCUAGCUCUCAUCUCUGCAAUCUCCUCCUCCCCCUUCACCUCUCUCCUUCCAUCAUCCUAGAUUUCCAGAUCGUCAAUCUCCGUUCUUCUUCAAGAGGAUGUUAGUUUAUGGUGAUCGAAGCCCACGUUCGAGGAUUUUGAGAAGAAGUCCAACUAUGGAACCAUUGAUACAUUUGAAGCUAUUCGUUCUCAUAUGACGAAUCUGUUGCUUCAUAAUUCGCCUCUUCAAUAACCGGCACCCAGGUUCACUCCUUCUGAAUCUCCUCACUAUCAGUUCCUCUCUUUCUCCCUGGUGCUAAUUAUGAAAAUUGUAAGCCAUCCCAACAUAGUCAAUCUUAUCGAGGUGAUUAAAUGAUCCAGACACAGAUCACUUCUAUAUGGUUCUUGAGUAUGUGGAGGGAAAAUGGGAUUGUGAGGGUGCUGGACCACCUGGUGGAUUAGGGGAAGCUAUCACGGGACAAUAUUUACGAGAUAUUGUUUCUGGGUUAAUGUAUCUUCAUUCACAUAAUAUAGUGCAUAUGGACAUAAAGCCUCAAAAUAUUUUGGUUUCGCGUAAUGGCACUGUAAAGAUUGCAGAUUUCAGUGUCAGCCAAGUUUUUGAGAUGCAACAAUUAUCAAUCUGGAGAUUUGAUCAAUUCAGAACGUGCUAUUGAUGGAUCUUUGGUUUUGGUCAACAGGACUUGUCCGUUGUAUCUCAAUUUUCUUCCAGGGGAAUAACACCUCAACCAUUUUCCCAUUUUUUGAAAGGAGGAGGAAAUGGUGGGGUUAUUCUGGUGCUUGUGAGAUUUUGGACCCAAGUAUUGCGUAUGGUCCACUUGUGCCAUCAUAGGAGGAGAGGAUGCUGCCAGUGUCAGAUACAUGUACACAAGGAUGGCUGAAAUCACUAGAGAACUACUAGGAAAGACACUGGAAUCACUUCACAGUUAGUGGAACUAUUUAGGUAGUGGAUGAAGACAGUGCAAAUGAUGCAAGUGAAGGGACGAUGUAACUCUCAGAAUCACUGAACUACCAGUUCGGAAGUGGACUCAAGAUUAUAAGGAGUUUUAAAGAGAGACAGAGAUCAAAUGAUGUAGCGAAAUUAAAUGAUGCGGCGAAUAUUCGGUGCUAAGGAGUUCUUUGAUUUUUUCAAAGAUGCUUCUGAUCAGGCAUUGAUGUACAUUUCUCUAUUUUCACCGAUCGUGGAGUCUAGGACUUCUAACAGUCUGUGCCUCUCAAUUUUGAGUUUCAUAAAAAGGCUAUGAUUCUUUUUAUUCUGUACUUAUUGUGCAACUCCUUUAACACCUAAGAAAACUUCAGAAAUAUUUUCAGCAGUAAUGUGUAAUGAACAUGCCUAAUAAAGAUGAUUUAGUUAUUUCACCAGGAUUAUGUGUGUUUAGUUUUUGCAGUCGUUUAGCCUCUAUAGGCAUAAGUCACACCUAGCGACAUUUAUGUUCAACUCUAAUAUGUAAUAUCAUGUUUGGGGUUAUCAGCUUUUCGCUGACAAGAGUCAUUAGCAAAGAGGAAAGCUGAUUAGAAAUUCUUAGCAUUGCUUCUAUUUCAUUAUUUAGCAGUAUGUGUUGGAAAUAUAAAUGUUGUCAUUGAGGAUACUCAACAUUGUG